AUUAGAACGCUGGCGGCAUGCCUUACACAUGCAAGUCGAACGGCAGCGACGGGGGCAACCCUGGUGGCGAGUGGCGAACGGGUGAGUAAUACAUCGGAACGUGCCCAGUAGUGGGGGAUAGCCCGGCGAAAGCCGGAUUAAUACCGCAUACGACCUACGGGUGAAAGCGGGGGAUCGCAAGACCUCGUGCUACCGGAGCGGCCGAUGUCAGAUUAGGUUGUUGGUAGGGGUAAAAGCCUACCAAGCCGACGAUCUGUAGCUGGUCUGAGAGGACGACCAGCCACACGUGGGACUGAGACACGGCCCAGACUCCGUACGGGAGGCAGCGA
rnacentral:rRNA from 1 species